UGAGGAUGGGAACUGAGCCAAGGG
rnacentral:piRNA from 1 species